AUUUAAAACAAGGUUCUCUCGUCCAGAGUCAUUCGUUCUUCAUCGUCUUCAACAGUUAUUUUUUAAGUACAAUAAAAACAGAAAAAUGAACUUCGCUAAGAUUUUCUUCUUCGCGUUCGCCUGCUUUUUGGCACUCAGUACCGUCUCUGGUGCUCCAAACCCUAAGUUUAAGUUAUUCAAGAGAAUCGAAAAAGUCGGAAGAAAUGUGCGUAAUGGUCUUAUUAAGGCCGGGCCAGCUGUACAGGUGGUUGGUCAAGCUGCCACCAUCGCCAAGGGAUAAACAACCUUAUUUUCUGUUCAAUAAUAAUGAAAAUAGUGUUAUGAUCGCCUCUAAUUGCUUUACUCUAGUCCUGAGAUUAAAAUGUAUUAAUAAGUUACAAUAAAUUACAAUUAUUUAUUUUCCAUUUCUGUCUUUUAUUACCGCCUCAUAACUUUUCAAAACGAAAUAGUAUUUCACUCAAAACCAAAUAAAAAUGCAAUCGCUUCUCGUGGGGUCUGAUGAAAAUAACAAACGAAUAGGUCGUAGUGAUACAUAAUUAUGUUCUUAAGACUGAAU
rnacentral:misc_RNA from 1 species